rnacentral:lncRNA from 1 species
AGGAAUGUCAAGAAUUACUGCUAAACUCUCAACAUCAUUACUACAUCUUUAUUUGUCUCUACCAUGGAACAAAAUGAGCUAAAAUUCAAAUAGAACUUAAAAUCCAAAAAAAAAAAAGGUACUGCACAAUGCUAUUAUGUACAAACGAAUUUAAGUGCAACUAGUACUUAAAGACAUGCAAUAAGAUCAACAACAACUGGGUCCUAUUUGAGAUUAUGUCCUACUAUCUGAAUGUAGCCAAAAUUAUUUGAAACUAGUUGGCCUACUUAUGAUUAUUUAUUGUGAAAUAUCUGAGAUCUUAGUAUCGUCGCCUAGACAUGAAAAACUCAAAAUCAGGAUGGUUGUUUGUACAGAUUUGGUUCCCCUUGUUGACAACAGCUCUUGCCAUGAGAGAUGCUGUUUCCUCAAGUGUCCGCAAACGCUCUUUCAGAAUAAAAGAAGGGUUCAUGCCCAACAUUUCUGCUUCCAGUGCAGAAUGACUCAGCUGGAACCAGCACUCACCCUGUUCAUAUGACAAAAGUGCUUAACUGCUUUAGUAAGCCAACAAAUUCUUGACAUUACUUAUCAGAAAGAAGUGACAUUCAAAGGCAACCACAUAUAAUGAAACAUUUGAAGAUGUAAAACAUUGGCUACUAUUUUCAAGCAUAUAUUACUUGUGUAGAAACUAGAAAGAACAGAUUCAAGUAAUUUAUGUGGUCAAUUUAUAAUGCAAUAAGAACAAAACCCCUGAAAUAUGUGUAUCUCCUUCUCCACAAUAAAAUGGACACUAAAGCCAUGUGUUGAAAAGCAAUAUGUGCAUAUUGAACCAGGAUCUCAAAUGCCUAAACAUUCCGACUUGUGAAGAAAUUUUAUUUUAUUUUCUUCCUGCAUCUUAAAUAAAGUUGUAUUGACAAGCAAUGACUCUUGACGUUUAACUCUGUUAUGGACAAGCAAUGACUGUUUUAACCAUCACAUCAUCAACACUUAUGGUUCAUUGCAACCUCACACACUCUCAAAUGACAAACUAUGUUUGGAUAUCUGUUGGCACAAGUGCAAACAGACGUUAGCACUCUCUUUGAGUAAAAAAGUGAAUGAAACUCUUCUUAUGGAUUGAGAUGAAAUUCUGUUCACGUUGCACUUAAUGGUUAUCCAAACACACACAUCAAGACAAGCAAUGGACUUUGGAAAUUCAUCAUCAUAUCAGACAAUAAUACCUAUCUAAACAUCCUACUCUAGCUCUGUACUAACCACUAUUCAAAGUCUGCUAGCAGGCUCAGAAGUCAUAGUACUCACCAUAUAGCCUAUAUAAAUNNNNNNNNNNNNNNNNNNNNNNNNNNNNNAUAUCCCUCAGCUCCAAUCACUCAUUUUAUAAAUUAUAAAAGAGUUGAAAUAAUAAAGUUAUAAUAACAAAUCCAUAAUGAGAUGGUUUUUAUCUACCAGAGAGCAAUAGUGCAACUUGUGGAAGAGUGCUUAGAGACUUUCAGGACAACUUCCUUGCAGGCCAUUCAGUCAAAUUGAGAAGCUGCCCAAUUCUUCAUAGCUAAAUUAUGGGGCAUUAUUCAUGGAGUCAAGCUUGCUCAAGCAAGAGAUUUCUCUAUAGUCCUAAUUGAGUUUUAUUUAAAAGUGACUAUAGGGCUGUUGAAUAAAGGUUGCAAUAAAGCUCAUCCUUGUUCUCCCUUAAAACAUAAGCCAUCAAAAUUUGGCACUUAGUUACUUAAAUAAAUAUCCUGAUAUAAGAUAAUUGUAAUUUGUAUUAGAUUCAGAACUCAUAAUCUAUAUUCUUGCAAGCAUCAAGGAUCAUGAUACCUAAGAAAAAGGGGAAGAGCAAGUUAGACAGCAAGUAUGAAAGGGAAAAAAGUAGUCUUGUCUGAACGCACUAUCGCAGCAUUUACUAACUUCAAGCUAUGGUAAUUGGAAACCAAGAAUUCAUAAUACUGAACUGUAGAGGAAUGUCAAGAAUUACUGCUAAACUCUCAACAUCAUUACUACAUCUUUAUUUGUCUCUACCAUGGAACAAAAUGAGCUAAAAUUCAAAUAGAACUUAAAAUCCAAAAAAAAAAAAGGUACUGCACAAUGCUAUUAUGUACAAACGAAUUUAAGUGCAACUAGUACUUAAAGACAUGCAAUAAGAUCAACAACAACUGGGUCCUAUUUGAGAUUAUGUCCUACUAUCUGAAUGUAGCCAAAAUUAUUUGAAACUAGUUGGCCUAC